rnacentral:rRNA from 1 species
UGCAACUGAAGAGUUUGAUCAUGGCUCAGAUUGAACGCUGGCGGCAGGCCUAACACAUGCAAGUCGAGCGGCAGCACGGGAAGCUUGCUUCCUGGUG